GCUGAUAUGGCUCAGUUNGGUAGAGCGCACCCUUGGUAAGGGUGAGGUCCCCAGUUCGACUCUGGGUAUCAGCACCA
rnacentral:tRNA from 1 species